GCCGAUUAAACAAUAUGUGUUAAUGCAAUUUUCAUUACCAGCUGGAUUUGACAACGAAAAUCAAUCAAAUAAUAUAAUAUUGUAUAUUAUUCGAAUAAAAUAUCAUACCAAAUAGUUGUAAUGACCGAAAAACCAAUACACAUAAAAAACUAUAAUCGUCUUCCUCAGCCUCAGCCGUUAGGUUGUAAAAAUUAGCGAUAGACACAACCGAAUGGUUACUAUAUCGAACUGUUCGAAAGAUUGAAAACUAAUCGAAUAGUUUAUGGGUUAUAGGUUAUGUGAAAUGCUAUUUGUACAAGCAAGGUUAUAUUCGAAUAGUUUUUCAAAAUAUUCGAUAGGUUUCCCGGUUACAAUUACUCGGUAAUGGAAAAAAUAUUCGACUGAAAUAAUCAAUAGUUCAUUUAAACUAACUAAAUGUAGUAUAAACUAUUCAGAAGUGUGCAUCUCUAGUAAAAAAUACGCGCGUAAUAAUAUUUUAGUACGCCAAAAUUCCUGUUUGAAAAUAUAUAUCCUCGCAUUAUAUUUCUAUAGAUAUAUUAUUGUUACUAAAUUAUAUAAAAUAAAACAAUUUAUUAAGUCUUAAAUUACCUAGCUAUGUUAUAAUUUUUUAGUUUUUUUAGUUUUUUUUUUUUUUAUACGUUUAAUGCGACAAAUUACUACCAUACAUCCUUUAUACGAUUAAGACUAGAAAGGUGGGUUCAGAAUAUUCGCACUGAUAAUCGAAAUAUAGAAUAAAAUUCAAUAUGAAUAAUAUUAACGUAUAUUAUUAUACUAUUAUGUUAAAACACAAAGCUGGGCAGUAGGUAACUAGUUGAAAAGUUAAGUUUUAUAAGUUCUUUUUUGAUAACU